rnacentral:rRNA from 1 species
CCUACGGGAGGCAGCAGUGGGGAAUAUUGCACAAUGGGGGAAACCCUGAUGCAGCGACGCCGCGUGAGUGAAGAAGUAAUUCGGUAUGUAAAGCUCUAUCAGCAGGGAAGAAAAUGACGGUACCUGAUUAAGAAUCCCCGGCUAACUACGUGCCAGCAGCCGCGGUAAUACGUAGGGGGCAAACGUUAUCCGGAUUUACUGGUUGUAAAGGGAGCGUAGACGGCAGUGCAAGUCUGGAGUGAAAGCCCGCGGCCAAACCCCGGGACUGCUCUGGAAACUGUACGGCUGGAGUGCGGGAGAGGUAAGUGGAAUUCCUGGUGUAGCGGUGAAAUGCGUAGAUAUUAGGAGGAACACCAGUGGCGAAGGCGGCUUACUGGACAGUAACUGACGUUGAGGCGCGAAAGCGUGGGGAGCAAACAGGAUUAGAUACCCUGGUAGUC